CUGGGCCUGUCCUGGGCUGGGCCUGGGCUUUCUCACUGCCCGCUCCUGAGAGCUGAGUCACCUGCAGGACCUGCCCAGUCUUCCACAGGGACGCCGGCUGCCCGUGGAGAAGGGCAAUGUGGACGCCCACCAGCCCAGUGCUACCCGCUCCGAAGAGGAGCCAGCCCCUGCCCAGGCAGGGGUGCCCAGCAGUGUCCAUGACGGCAGCAACCCUCAAGGUGCUAGGGGAGGCCAGGACAGUCAGCCCGGACACCUGGCACGUCCUUCUCAGUGAUGAGAUGUCCCCAUGGGGGCUGAGGAGUCCGGGCCUCCUGGGUGGGACAGGAGCCGGCAGGAAGCCCACAGAGCUGGCCGGGCCCCAGGCCAUGGCUGAUGGGCGCCUGCUGGCUGCAGGCCAGGGCCUCAGCUCCCACGGGGACUCCUGGCUGUCCACGACCCCACGUGGCCGGUGGGGAGGGAAGGCCUGCUGUUGGCCCCGGGCUUGGCUCUUGUGCCCGAGACCGAGAACCAGCACCUGUGACUUCAGAUCAACCUGGCCAGCAGGCUCCUGGCCACAGCCUCGUCCCGCUGCAGAAGGUCAGUCCCUGUCCCCCAUCCCCCAUCAGCCCCUGAAGGCCGGGAGCCGGCUCCGUCCUGUCUUCUAGAGAAGACACUUGACUUAAGGCACGAGAAAUGCAAGGCGUCCGGUGGAGUCCGGGUGGGAGCAGAGGGCACGUCAGUGUCCCUGUGAGACCGAGCCUCCUGUCCCUUCUGUCCUGAGGGGGGCUGGUGGGGGUCGCACCUACCCCUCAUUCUUUCUGCUUGUGCUUCAGGAACUUGGGUGGGCUGGGCUGGAUGGCCCCAGGGAGGACCUGGGUGGACCCAGGACGGGGCAUCAGGGCAAGCUGUGGGCUCAGGAGCAGUGGGCGUGGCAGACAGUGCUGAUGUCCAAUGCCCACCGGCCAUCCUCCUUCCUGACAGCUCCUACUUUGUCAUUGUUAUUGUUUUAAUUAUUGUUGUCCUGGGAAUUGAACCCAGGGCCAUCUGCCACUGAGUUACACCCCCAGCCCUAUUUAGCUUGUAUUUUGAUACACAGCAUCCUAAGCUGUGAAGGCUGGCCUCGAACUUGUGAUCCUCCUGCCUCAGCCUCCUGAGUCUCUGGGAUUACAUGCAUGCACCAAGGGUCACCCAGAAGAGCUCCUACGUUACCUGGUCAUAUUGCAGCUCAACUAAAAGAUACCUCCCAGACUUGACUGCAGCUAGAUGUGGUCAUGUGAUCAACGAAAAGUAAGUAGAAAUACCAAGUGGGAUGUCCAGGAAUGGACAGAGGUUGCUCUUCUUUGGUCCUUCCUCCACUCGGCAGCCUGGAUGGAAGAUGUGAUGGCAAGAACUCUGGCAGCCAUUUUGGAAUCUCUGGUGAAGGGCCACACGCUCUUGAAGGCAAGAGCCAUGAGCUGGCAGGAGCCUGAGUCCUGACUGUGAGUCCUUGCUCAGCAUCUGAACGGCCAUCUUAAGUGACAGCCAGCGUUUUAAUUAAAAAGUUUCACUUUCCUGCCCAAGGCCAUUUCUGAGAAAGGCUCACCACACCCUCAUACCAACCCCACCCCUAACCACCCACAUUAGGUCCUGUCUGGCUCUGAUUCCUGAGCCUGACCAUAACAGUGCCAGAACCCAAGCCUGUGCUGCCCUCCCUCCCAUGGAGAGACGGCCUUCAUGGGUCAGCCCUGACCGUGAACUCUCUGUGGAUCUCUGCCUGGCCUCCGUCUCCCAUUUCUCACUCACCCGUCUCUUGUUCCUUGCUUUCCCUUCAUUUUGGUGCUGAAACCCGGGAUCGGGUUCCCUGAUGUGCCUGUUCCCCUCUUCGCGAGGGUCACUGCGUGUCCCUGGGCCCCGAUCAGAGUUCAUCAUGGGACCAGGCCCUCCCUUCUGCUGGACACCCUCUCCGCACCCACCACUGGACAUUCCAGAUCUGGCCUCAAUACCCUUUGGCCGCUGAACGGCCGCUUAGCGGCACUCUAGAUCCAGUGUGAUCAGGGAUCUUCUCGGCUAUGAUAGAAAAGCCACCUGGGUCCUGUGCUUCAGUGUGCCCUCAGAUCUGGCCUCAAUAGCCUUUGGACUCUGAAUGGCCCCACCACGAACCUCAAAGCGUCUCAGUAUCUGACCCAACCAUGUGCCUCGACCUUCCACGACGUCCACAUGAGCUUGCCUAGCCCUCACCCUCCUGCGGAGGAGCGCAGGCCAGGUGGGGAGCAAGCUAGAAAUUAUGCUGAUGGGGCACAUUGGGCCCCGGCCCUCUGACUGGCACUGAGAGGUUCCUGAUCGGGGCCCCAGGUGGGAUCCUAGUUCGCCUGGACGAGUGACCGGUAGAAGCCCAUCCUCACUUGCCUCACGGCAGGGCUUAGAAAGGCAGCCCACAGCCACUGAUCGUGAAAGGCUCCAGGAAGUCCUCCAGGACAGGAAUGGACCCCCUCACACUUCUAGACCCUGGCCCCGGCUUGAAUACAGAACCCUAACCUGGACCUGAGACUCCAGGACACCUUCUCCUUCCCACGGACAGACCCUGGGUCCUGUAACUCACUCAGCUGACGGGGACAGUCCCCCCCAGGGGCCCGGGACAGCCCUCAUACCUUCGACAGGCCUUGGCUAAGGACCUAGCGUCCCUGCACCUCACUCGGCCCGGGCACCACAGCAUGUGGAUGACCUCCUCUGCAGUCCCGCCUUGAGGCCAGCCAACAGGACACCCGUGAACUUCUCCACUUCCUCUCUGCCCAGGCUCUAGGGCUUCUGCAUCCCAGGAACAGCUGUCCUGGGCCAUGGUGACAGACCUCGGCCUCCCCCUGGCCCCACACACAGCCGUGACGCUCGACAGACAGGGCCUCAUACUAACACACCAACCCCUCCACUGGGGAGGACAUUCUCCCCUUUCUGGGUGUGGCGGGGCUCCCCAGAGCCUGGGUUCCAUAUUGGCUAAGCCUCUAUAUGAUGCGGCCGGGGCCCCUCUCUGAACCCUCUUGCCUCUGUGGCAGAGCCCCUCACCAGCUCCGCAGGCCUCCUCCAGCCCCUCUCUCCAUCUCCCUGAGCUCACACGCCCACCUCACCUUCAGGUGCCUGAAAAGCAGGGAUCUGCUCUAGGGGUCCUCGGGGACGCAUGCUGGGCCCGACCUUUGCCCCCGUGGCUUAUCUAUGGGAGGGUCUUGACCCUACUGUUCGGGAUGGGCCCCUGGCCUACGAAUGUUGGCCGCAGCCUCUUACUCAUUAAGGAGUCAGAGAAGCCCACCUUGGGGCCCCACUCACCACCCCGGCUCCCCGCCACCUGAAGGAUCUCCUCACCCACCAGGGCUCACUCCUGACCCCCCGCCUGUGAUGGCUACAGGUUUCCCUGGUGGAAGACCCAGUCUCCCUUUCCCCAGUGCUCACCUUGAAACCCUGCCCAUCAGAGCCUUCACUGUGGCAAACCCCUUCUCCAGCGCCACUCCCCUUCCUGACCCUCUCCCGGUCAUCGGCCUUCUGCUAAUGCUUGCCCCCGCGACAUUAGAAGGGAUCCAGACCAGAUCCCCGAAAUUUCUAACCAAACUAUCAACCAGCUUUUGUUACAGGAAUACCAACCCCUCACCAAAACUGGGCCGCAGGGGACAGCCGUCCCCCACCACUCCACCUCCGUCAUCAUUCCGGUGACAUCCCGGGCCUCAAAGGAGGGACUCCAAUGCCACCCCUUCCCAGCAGGAAGCAGUUACAGAAGAGUGACCUGUCCCUAAGGGACCCAAUAAAAAACAAAAAAUGGGGGAAUAUAAGGUCCUUGCUUAGCCAUCUUAAGUGACAGCCACCAUUUUAAGGAAAAAGUGUCCCUUUCCUGCCCGAGGGCGUUUCUGAGAAAGGCUCACCACUCCCUCACGCCAACCCAGCCCUAGCCACCCGCCUGUCCCAUGGAAGUGCCAGAACCCAAGCCCGUGCUGCCCUCUCUCCUGUAGAGAGACGGCCUUUAUUGGACAGACCAACUCUCCCGUGUGUCCCUGCCUGCUCUCCGUCUUCCAUCUCUCAUUUACUCGUCUCUCGUUCCUCGCUUUCCCUUCAUUGACGGUGCGUGUGGCCUUUACGUCAGCUCAAGUUCGCUUACAUUUGGGCUUCUUUUCUCAGAAACAAAAAUAUAGAUCUCUCUUGCUUAAACUCCACUGUUUGGAGUGGCCCUACUGUGUAGCCAGCCCUCGUCAGGACUGGAGGGGGGCACACAAGUCGAGUGGACAAUGCGGGCAG